rnacentral:rRNA from 1 species
UACAGAGGUGGCAAGCGUUGUUCGGAAUUACUGGGCGUAAAGGGCGCGUAGGCGGCCUUCUAAGUCAGACGUGAAAUCCCCCGGCUUAACCUGGGAACUGCGUCUGAUACUGGGAGGCUUGAGUCCGGUAGGGGCCCACGGAACUCCUGGUGUAGCGGUGAAAUGCGCAGAUAUCAGGAAGAACACCGAUGGCGAAGGCAGUGGCUGGGCCGGUACUGACGCUGAGGAGCGAAAGCGUGGGGAGCGAACAGG